GAAGUCCCUGGCGGCCUCCCAAACCCAACCCACUAAGCCAUCACCCCAAACCCUGCACCUGCCCUGCCUCCUCCGCUGAUCUGCCCCCACUCAGUCCCGGCCGUGCUGGGACGAGUGGGCUCAAGCUGCCCACAGGAAGGCCUGGCUGCCCACAGGGGCCCCUCUGCAGCAGCCCCCCUGCAGCCCUCCACGCACCUCCCUCGGGGCCAUGGGUGCACCCCCCCCACCAGGAGACCGAGCAGGGGGAGAGACCAGCCCCAGUGCUGUAUGAGCCCUUCUGGCUCCCUGCUCUGCUCAGGCUCCUUCGGCCAAAUCCAUGUGUUUGCUGGUACGUGGUGCCCACGGACUCAGAGAGCAAAUACGACAGUCCGAAGCGCACUGCAAAGCUGAAGGAUCUGGGGGCAGUUCUCAUGGUUUGGUCAAAGGCGAUCUGGACUCUCACGACCAAGCUUUAUGCUCUUCGUGGAAUCGCAACCUGACGAGGCCCCUCAGAUUCUCACACGUGGACACUUGAAGGGCCAGGUCGCAUCUUCUCCAGGUCUCAGACAUCAGCGAUUUGAAAUGGAGUCACUCAGCCCUUUGCAUCGACGAGGUGACAGAAGGGACAAAGGUAAGAUCUGCGAAUUUAUGAAGCUUCUUGGCUCAGGGGCUUGGGCAGGUGGACAGGCCAGCGGCUGGGAGGGAGGGGGGCGUGGGGUGGGGUCCUGCUGGGCCCCGCCCCCGCCCAGCUCAGGCCCCGCCCUCCAAGUGCUCUCAGAAGACCUGGCGGCACAGCUGUUCCUCUCCCGUCUGCGUUUAUCGUUUCCUCUCACUUAAAUCAUAGCUCUUGAGUCCUACUACGUGCUAAGGGCACACACACUGGGACACCCGGUGCUCUGGAGCUUUGCCGAC
rnacentral:lncRNA from 1 species